UUGCUUUCUCAAGCGAGUGGCGAACGGGUGAGUAACGCGUGAGGAACCUGCCUCAAAGAGGGGGACAACAGUUGGAAACGACUGCUAAUACCGCAUAAGCCCACGGGUCGGCAUCGACCAGAGGGAAAAGGAGCAAUCCGCUUUGAGAUGGCCUCGCGUCCGAUUAGCUAGUUGGUGAGGUAACGGCCCACCAAGGCAACGAUCGGUAGCCGGACUGAGAGGUUGAACGGCCACAUUGGGACUGAGACACGGCCCAGACUCCUACGGGAGGCAGCAGUGGGGAAUAUUGCACAAUGGGGGAAACCCUGAUGCAGCGACGCCGCGUGGAGGAAGAAGGUCUUCGGAUUGUAAACUCCUGUUGUUGAGGAAGAUAAUGACGGUACUCAACAAGGAAGUGACGGCUAACUACGUGCCAGCAGCCGCGGUAAAACGUAGGUCACAAGCGUUGUCCGGAAUUACUGGGUGUAAAGGGAGCGCAGGCGGGAAGACAAGUUGGAAGUGAAAUCUAUGGGCUCAACCCAUAAACUGCUUUCAAAACUGUUUUUCUUGAGUAGUGCAGAGGUAGGCGGAAUUCCCGGUGUAGCGGUGGAAUGCGUAGAUAUCG
rnacentral:rRNA from 1 species